rfam:TPA: Bos taurus chromosome 12, whole genome shotgun sequence.
UCCUCGGUGGUCCAGUGGUUAAGACUCUGCGCUUCCAAUGCAGGAGGCACAGGUUUGAUCCCUGGUUAGGGAA